GUCUGUCUGGCUCAGUAGGUAGAGCAUGUGACUCUUGAUCUCAGGGUUGUAGGUUCAAGCCCCAUGUUGGGCA
rnacentral:tRNA from 1 species